rnacentral:rRNA from 1 species
AUUGAACGCUGGCGGCAGGCCUAACACAUGCAAGUCGAGCGGAUGAAGGGAGCUUGCUCCUGGAUUCAGCGGCGGACGGGUGAGUAAUGCCUAGGAAUCUGCCUGGUAGUGGGGGAUAACGUCCGGAAACGGGCGCUAAUACCGCAUACGUCCUGAGGGAGAAAGUGGGGGAUCUUCGGACCUCACGCUAUCAGAUGAGCCUAGGUCGGAUUAGCUAGUUGGUGGGGUGAAGGCCUACCAAGGCGACGAUCCGUAACUGGUCUGAGAGGAUGAUCAGUCACACUGGAACUGAGACACGGUCCGGACUCCUACGGGAGGCAGCAGUGGGGAAUAUUGGACAAUGGGCGAAAGCCUGAUCCAGCCAUGCCGCGUGUGUGAAGAAGGUCUUCGGAUUGUAAAGCACUUUAAGUUGGGAGGAAGGGCAGUAAGUUAAUACCUUGCUGUUUUGACGUUACCAACAGAAUAAGCACCGGCUAACUUCGUG